GCGAGGGGAAGGCAAUCUAAGUUCACCGCAUCCUGCUCCUGCGCAAAGCUCGUCGCAAAAGAACUUUUGCGGCAACGAUUGCAUGACCAACAUCGUGUUGG
rfam:Psychrobacillus sp. FJAT-21963 super27, whole genome shotgun sequence.